AGGGAAUAUUGGUUAAUGUGCGAAAGCGCGAACCAGCAACGCCGCGUGUGCGAUGAAGGCCUUCGGGUUGUAAAGCACCUUUAGAGGGAAUGAGGAAGGACAGUACCCUCAGAAUAAGCCUCGGCUAACUACGUGCCAGCAGCCGCGGUAAAACGUAGGAGGCGAGCGUUAUCCGGAUUUACUGGGCGUAAAGCGUGUGUAGGCGGUUUGAUAAGUUGGAUGUGAAAGCUCCUGGCUUAACUGGGAGAGGUCGUUCAAAACUAUCAGACUUGAGAGUGGUAGAGGGAGGUGGAAUUCCGCAUGUAGUGGUGAAAUGCGUAGAUAUGCGGAGGAACACCAGUGGCGAAAGCGGCCUCCUAGCCCAUUUCUGACGCUCAGACACGAAAGCUAAGGUAGCAAACU
rnacentral:rRNA from 1 species